rnacentral:rRNA from 1 species
AGAGUUUGAUUCUGGCUCAGAACGAACGCUGGCGGCAGGCUUAACACAUGCAAGUCGAGCGAUAUAGUGGCAGACGGGUGAGUAACGCGUGGAAACGUGCCUUUCACUACGGAAUAGCUUUUGGAAACGAAAGGUAAUAUCGUAUACGCCCGGGAGGGGAAAGAUUUAUCGGUGAAAGAUCGGUCCGCGUUAGAUUAGGUAGUUGGUGGGGUGAUGGCCUACCAAGCCUACGAUCUAUAGCUGGUCUGAGAGGAUGAUCAGCCACACUGGGACUGAGACACGGCCCAGACUCCUACGGGAGGCAGCAGUGGGGAAUAUUGCACAAUGGGCGCAAGCCUGAUGCAGCCAUGCCGCGUGAAUGAUGAAGGCCUUAGGGUUGUAAAAUUCUUUCGCUAGGGAUGAUAAUGACAGUACCUAGUAAAGAAGCCCCGGCUAACUUCGUGCCAGCAGCCGCGGUAAUACGAAGGGGGCUAGCGUUGUUCGGAAUUACUGGGCGUAAAGCGCACGUAGGCGGAUUUUUAAGUCAGAUGUGAAAUCCCAAGGCUCAACCUUGGAACUGCAUUUGAAACUGGAAGUCUAGAGAUCAGGAGAGGUUAGUGGAAUACCGAGUGUAGAGGUGAAAUUCGUAGAUAUUCGGUGGAACACCAGUGGCGAAGGCGACUAACUGGACUGAUACUGACGCUGAGGUGCGAAAGUGUGGGGAGCAAACAGGAUUAGAUACCCUGGUAGUCCACACCGUAAACGAUGAGAGCUAGUUGUCUGCAGGCAUGCCUGUAGGUGACGCAGCUAACGCAUUAAGCUCUCCGCCUGGGGAGUACGGCCGCAAGGUUAAAACUCAAAGAAAUUGACGGGGGCCCGCACAAGCGGUGGAGCACGUGGUUUAAUUCGACGCAACGCGCAGGACCUUACCUACGCUUGACAUGCCUGGACGACUCCGAGAGAUCGGUUUCUCCCUUCGGGGCCAGUGCACAGGUGCUGCAUGGCUGUCGUCAGCUCGUGUCGUGAGAUGUUGGGUUAAGUCCCGCAACGAGCGCAACCCUCAUCCUUAGUUGCCAUCACGUUUGGGUGGGCACUCUAGGGAAACUGCCGGUGCUAAGCCGGAGGAAGGCGGGGAUGACGCCAAGUCCUCAUGGCCCUUACGCGUAGGGCUACACACGUGCUACAAUGGCAGUGACAAUGGGAUAAUCCCCAAAAGCUGUCUCAGUUCGGAUUGUCGGCUGCAACUCGCCGGCAUGAAGUUGGAAUCGCUAGUAAUCGUGGAUCAGCAUGCCACGGUGAAUACGUUCCCGGGCCUUGUACACACCGCCCGUCACACCAUGGGAGUUGGAUCUACCCGAAGAUUGUGAGCUAACUUCGGAGGCAGCAAGCCACGGUAGGUUCAGCGACUGGGGUGAUGUCGUAACAAGGUA